AACGUACGCUGGCGGCACGCUUAACACAUGCAAGUCGAACGAAGUAGCAAUACUUAGUGGCAGACGGGUGAGUAACAUGUGGGUAUCUGCCCUUUGGCCUGGAAUAACACGAGGAAACUUGUGCUAAUACCGGAUAAGUCUUUACAGAGAAAGCUUUAUGCACCAUUGGAUGAGCCCGCACUUGAUUAGUUUGUUGGUGGGGUAAUGGCCUACCAAGACUGUGAUCAAUAGCUGAUUUGAGAGGAUGAUCAGCCACAUUGGGACUGAGACACGGCCCAAACUCCUACGGGAGGCAGCAGUGGGGAAUCUUGCACAAUGGAGGAAACUCUGAUGCAGCGAUGCCGCGUGAGUGAAGAAGGCCCUUGGGUUGUAAAGCUCUUUCGUCGGGGAAGAAAAUGACUGUACCCGAAUAAGAAGGUCCGGCUAACUUCGUGCCAGCAGCCGCGGUAAUACGAAGGGACCUAGCGUAGUUCGGAAUUACUGGGCUUAAAGAGUUCGUAGGUGGUUGAAAAAGUUAGUGGUGAAAUCCCAGAGCUUAACUCUGGAACUGCCAUUAAAACUUUUCAGCUAGAGUAUGAUAGAGGAAAGCAGAAUUUCUAGUGUAGAGGUGAAAUUCGUAGAUAUUAGAAAGAAUACCAAUUGCGAAGGCAGCUUUCUGGAUCAUUACUGACACUGAGGAACGAAAGCAUGGGUAGCGAAGAGGAUUAGAUACCCUCGUAGUCCAUGCCGUAAACGAUGUGUGUUAGACGUUGGAAAUUUAUUUUCAGUGUCGCAGCGAAAGCGAUAAACACACCGCCUGGGGAGUACGACCGCAAGGUUAAAACUCAAAUGAAUUGACGGGGACCCGCACAAGUAGUGGAGCAUGUGGUUUAAUUCGAAGAUACGCGCAGAACCUUACCAACACUUGACAUGUUCGUCGCGACUCUAAGAGAUUAGAGUUUUCGGUUCGGCCGGACGAAACACAGGUGCUGCAUGGCUGUCGUCAGCUCGUGUCGUGAGAUGUUGGGUUAAGUCCCGCAACGAGCGCAACCCUCACUUUUAGUUGCCAUCAUUAAGUUGGGCACUCUGAAAGAACUGCCAGUGAUAAGCUGGAGGAAGGUGGGGAUGACGUCAAGUCCUCAUGGCCCUUACGUGUUGGGCUACACACGUGCUACAAUGGUAUCUACAACAGGAAGCAAGACUGCGAGGUCAAGCAAAUCCUUAAAAGAUACCUCAGUUCGGAUUGCACUCUGCAACUCGAGUGCAUGAAGCUGGAAUUACUAGUAAUCGUGGAUCAGCGUGCCACGGUGAAUGCGUUCCCGGGUCU
rnacentral:rRNA from 1 species